rnacentral:rRNA from 1 species
GGCCCGCACAAGCGGUGGAGUAUGUGGUUUAAUUCGACGCAACGCGCAGAACCUUACCCAGCCUUGACAUCUUCAGAAUCCCUGCGAAAACAGGGAGUGCCUCCUUACGGAGGAAUUGAAUGACAGGUGCUGCAUGGCUGUCGUCAGCUCGUGUCGUGAGAUGUUCGGUUAAGUCCGGCAACGAGCGCAACCCCUAUCGUUAGUUGCUACCAGUUCGGCUGGGCACUUUAGCGAGACUCCCGGUGUCAAACCGGCGGAAGAUGGGGAUGACGUCAAGUCCUCAUGGCCCUUAUGGCUGGGGCUACACACGUACUACAAUGGCAACUACAGAGGGCAGCGAGACCGCGAGGUGGAGCUAAUCCCUAAAAGGUUGCCUCAGUUCGGAUUGGAGUCUGCAACUCGACUCCAUGAAGUUGGAAUCGCUAGUAAUCG